rnacentral:lncRNA from 1 species
GUCCAAACGCGAAAGGGAGAGUCGCAGCCGGUGUGGUGACGGGUAGGAGUGGUUUCGGUUGGUUGGUUGCUGUUCUGUUUGGAUAUGCCUUUUCCGACAUGGAAGCUGAUCAUUUAGCAUUCGACAUUGCAGUAAACUUUCAUUCAGUUUCAGUUGUCUUGCGUUUGGGAGCAUCAUGUGCGAGGCUGUCAUACCUAUUUUGUCGCUGGACUCAUUCAGUUGGUGCGCGCGUGCUUGCGUCGAUUGUCGCGGCUGGGCUGGACGGACAGUGUGGAGGUUGGAAGGGUCCGGUUGGAAUGUCAACCAGAUUUUCUGGUGUAUAAUUGUUUUUGUAAAUGUUUUGAAUUUUUCUGUCGAUGGUUAGUGCUCUUUAUUGAUCAUUGGUGGAGUGCUGGUG